AGCAGUAGCCGCGGGAAUACGUAGGUGGCAAGCGUUAUCCGGAAUUAUUGGGCGUAAAGCGCGCGUAGGCGGUUUCUUAAGUCUGAUGUGAAAGCCCACGGCUCAACCGUGGAGGGUCAUUGGAAACUGGGAAACUUGAGUGCAGAAGAGGAAAGUGGAAUUCCAUGUGUAGCGGUGAAAUGCGCAGAGAUAUGGAGGAACACCAGUGGCGAAGGCGACUUUCUGGUCUGUAACUGACGCUGAUGUGCGAAAGCGUGGGGAUCAAACAGGAUUAGAUACCCCAGUAGUCCCUGUCUCUUAUAU
rnacentral:rRNA from 1 species